UUGUACCUUUGCCACCAAAGUUUCCUGUAACGAAAAAUGAACAAGUUGAAAAUCGUUCCAACUACAAUCCAGGCAUUGUAGUAUAAGCAGUUAUGAUGCUGAUAGGAAGGGUGAAAAUGAAUGCCAAGCCACAGGCAAAGAGGAGAGCCCACCAAGGAAUUUGAACUUGAUCUUUUAAAAAGAUUGAGAGAAUAAAAGAGAUUGCUACUGUUAAUCCAAGAAGAAGCGAAGGAAGUGGUUUACCCGAUCUUCAGCCCGAAAUCUACAGGUAUCUAAGCAAGCAAUAGCUCAUCUGGUACAGUGCAGUCAGACCUCUAUAGGCAUGUAUACAAUGCAGCUAA